ACCACAGCCAUAUCACCCUGUAGCCCACUGGUUGCCCACUGAAGCUAAGCAUGGUUGAGCCUGGUCAGUACCUGGAUGAGAGACCUCCUGGGGAAAACUAGGUUGCUGCUGGAA
rnacentral:rRNA from 1 species